rnacentral:rRNA from 1 species
GACGAACGCUGGCGGCGUGCUUAACACAUGCAAGUCGAACGAUGAACCGGAGCUUGCUCCGGGGAUUAGUGGCGAACGGGUGAGUAACACGUGGGCAACCUGCCCCAGACACCGGGAUAACCUUCCCGAAAGGAUGGCUAAUACCGGAUACGACCACUUCGGGCAUCCGACGGUGGUGGAAAGGAUUCUGGUCUGGGAUGGGCCCGCGGCCUAUCAGCUUGUUGGUGGGGUAAUGGCCUACCAAGGCGACGACGGGUAGCCGGCCUGAGAGGGCGACCGGCCACACUGGGACUGAGACACGGCCCAGACUCCUACGGGAGGCAGCAGUGGGGAAUAUUGCGCAAUGGGCGAAAGCCUGACGCAGCGACGCCGCGUGAGGGACGAAGGUCUUCGGAUUGUAAACCUCUUUCAGCAGGGACGAAGCGAAAGUGACUGUACCUGCAGAAGAAGCACCGGCUAACUACGUGCCAGCAGCCGCGGUAU